GUCUGGCCUGAGACUUUCCCUGGUGUCUGGCCUGAGACUUUCCCUGGUGUCUGGCCUGAGACUUUCCCUGGUGUCUGGCCUGAGACUUUCCCUGGUGUCUGGCCUGGUGUCUGGCCUGAGACUUUCCCUGGUGUCUGGCCUGGUGUCUGGCCUGAGACUUUCCUGGUGUCUGGCCUGAGACUUUCCCUGGUGUCUGGCCUGGUGUCUGGCCUGAGACUUUCCCUGGUGUCUGGCCUGGUGUCUGGCCUGAGACUUUCCCUGGUGUCUGGCCUGGUGUCUGGCCUGAGACUUUCCCUGGUGUCUGGCCUGGUGUCUGGCCUGAGACUUUCCCUGGUGUCUGGCCUGGUGUCUGGCCUGAGACUUUCCCUGGUGUCUGGCCUGAGACUUUCCCUGGUGUCUGGCCUGAGACUUUCCCUGGACUUAAACCCUGGUGUUGCACCAAGUGCAAUUGGACCAUCUCCUAGCCUGGUCCCAGAUCUGCACAUCUCCUAGCCUGGUCCCAGAUCUGUACAUCUCCUAGCCUGGUCCCAGAUCUGUCCAUCUCCUAGCCUGGUCCCAGAUCUGUCCAUCUCCUAGCCUGGUCCCAGAUCUGUCCAUCUCCUAGCCUGGUCCCAGAUCUGUCCAUCUCCUAGCCUGGUCCCAGAUCUGCACAUCUCCUAGCCUGGUCCCAGAUCUGCACAUCUCCUAGCCUGGUCCCAGAUCUGCACAUCUCCUAGCCUGGUCCCAGAUCUGUCCAUCUCCUAGCCUGGUCCCAGAUCUGUCCAUCUCCUAGCCUGGUCCCAGAUCUGCACAUCUCCUAGCCUGAUCCCAGAUCUGCACAUCUCCUAGCCUGGUUCCAGAUCUGCACAUCUCCUAGCCUGGUCCCAGAUCUGUCCAUCUCCUAGCCUGGUCCCAGAUCUGUCCAUCUCCUAGCCUGGUCCCAGAUCUGCACAUCUCCUAGCCUGGUCCCAGAUCUGCACAUCUCCUAGCCUGAUCCCAGAUCUGUCCAUCUCCUAGCCUGGUCCCAGAUCUGCACAUCUCCUAGCCUGGAUCCCAGAUCUGCACAUCUCCUAGCCUGGUCCCAGAUCUGCACAUCUCCUAGCCUGGUCCCAGAUCUGCACAUCUCCUAGCCUGGUCCCAGAUCUGCACAUCUCCUAGCCUGUUUCCAGAUCUGCACAUCUCCUAGCCUGAUCCCAGAUCUGUCCAUCUCCUAGCCUGGUCCCAGAUCUGUCCAUCUCCUAGCCUGAUCCCAGAUCUGUCCAUCUCCUAGCCUGGUCCCAGAUCUGUUUGUGCACUGUCUUGACCGUAGGCUACCGGUUUCCUACUCUGCUGAUGAGAUGAAGGAUAUGACGAUGAUGUGGUUCCGUUUACUUCUAUCUGUCUUGUCAAAUCUGUUGUUGAUACAAACUUAUAAAUAUUAUGGCUGAUAUUGCAUUUGUCACAAAUGGUACCCUAUUCCUUAUAUAGUGCACUACUUUUGACCAGGGCCUUAUUGGGGGGUUGCACACUAUGUAGGGAAUAGGGUGCCAUUUGGGGGACACACAUUCUGGCGUUGUUUUUAAUGACAGGAAGAGGAAUGAAAAGUAACAGCAAUAAAGGAUUACAGUUCUCUGAACGAGAUGUCGCUGUAUUCCACUAUAACAGGAUAUGAGAAAUAUAUCACAUCCUGUUUUGAAACAUUUCAGAUUUGUUAUUGGAAGACAAGACCGUAUAAAAAUAAAUAACAUUUCAUCUUUCAGAUUCAAUAUUGUGUUGUUCCAGGAGUUUGAAACAAUUAUUCAAUAUAAUAAAAUGCAUGUAAAAAUGUCAAGUUAACUAUUUGCUUUAAGGUUUUCAGUUAGCUGACGAGUAGAUGAGUCAAAUUCUUUGGAAUUCUAGUCAAUUCAGAAAGUAAAAUCAAUUGCUAUUCUGAGUUGUCCUCCAUUUUUAAAAAGCGUUUUGAAUGGAGAUUUCAGUGGACUUCCUGAAUUGACUGAAAUUGACCCCCAAACCCCUCCUGAUACUAGCACAGUAUGUGGAGGCUUGAACUUGGUUAGGGAGAGGAACGCACUGCUUUAGACUGCUUCAUGAUGUACCCAACUAUCUGUGAAUGAGAGACUGCUUGCCUUGCAGUUCUAAUGGACCAAAGUAUCAAGUGUCUCUGGAGGGUAUGUCCAAAAUCAAACCCUUUUCCCUAAUAUAGUACACCAUUUUUGUGUGUUUUUUUGUUGUUGACCAGAGUCAUGUUCCCGGUGGGGGUUGUACUUCACAAACAGGAGAUGGAGUCAUGCUGGCUUGGACAAAGCUACUCUGGUCAAAAGUAGUGUACUAUGUGGGGAACAAAUGGCUCACUGUAGCAGAACAGGGUCUGUUUGGAAUCCAUUCUGUCUAUUUCAAUUGUACAGAUGUUAUAUUAUUUUUUAAACAUGUUACGAUAUGUAUAUUUAUGAAGUUUGUUAGAUACUUUUUUUUUUUUUUUUUGCUUUAUGACGCCUAAUUUAUUUAAAGUUUUUGAUGAUUAUUAUUGUAGGUAUUUAAUCUAUAAGCAGCGGGAAAACAAAAAGGCUGGACAAACUUCUGUUAAAAAAAAACAAGUUUUAUUUUUUAUUUAAUAUGAAUUGUACUAUGAAGCAGAAUAAUCUACAGCUGGAAACUGUGCCAUAGCAGGAGAAAUUAAAGCUUUAUCAAACCAUA